GCCUCAGGGCCCUCAGCGGGGCGGGGCGCGCGCCAUUUCCCGCCUCCCCUCAGCCCGCCCGUGAGGCGCCAACACCGCCCUCGCCUCAGGGCGACGGAGCUACGGGGAGAUGGAGGCAGCAGAAGGAGCUGCUUGUUGGGAGUCAGAGCAGUGGGGAGAUGGAGCGGGGAGUUGGACCUGGGAGUUGGGAGACGGAACAAGAGGGGGAUGGGGGACGGAGCAGGGAGAUGGCACCCUCGAAGCCGCUUCAGCCCCCAAGCGCUCCGGCUCCUCACCUCAGGGAGGUGAUGGAGGACGGAGAUGGCACCUGCCAAGCCGCUUCAGCCCCAGAGGCUUCGGCUUCUCGCCUCAGGGGGGAGGAAAAGGGAGAUGGAGAAGGGAGAUGGGAGAUUGGAGACGGAGUAGCAGGGAGAGAGAGUAGACGGAUAGGGCACGCAAAGCCGCCUCAGCCUCGGGUGCUCCAGCUCUCCAGCUUUUUUAAUCUGGGCUUUGCAAGUUAGAAACUUUUUCUUUCCUUUUUUUUUUUUUUUUUAAAGGUAUUUGGUGUUUAGCGAAGUAGGUGAUCAGACUGUGUCCUGACUGAGGUAAAAAAAAUACCUCAGCUCACAAGGGUUUUGGGGUGCAGCAAAUCCCUUCAGGAGGUGCAGUGAAAUCACAGAGCUGACAUGGUGCCACCCCUCUGGCCACUUCGAUUUUACCUCAGGAUCCUCCUGGCAGAGGACAGGGAUCACGAUUUACACACAGAAACACAGGUACCCCAAAACAGCACAGGGAAGGGGCAAUGCCACCUCAGGUGGGUCAGCCAGUGCUCCAGGAGACAGACAUCUGACCCAGGGGUGGAUCAGCCCCAUCACCUUGGCAAUAAAGGAUACAGUGAGGUGGGGUUUAAUUCCCCAAGAUCCCAGGGAAACAAGCCGCCAUCUUGAGCUCAAGCCGCCAUUUUGUGUCAGCUUUGCUUUAUUGUCAGGGCCCGUUCCCCCAGGUGGAGCUCACUGGGGGCCACCACAACAUAGUGACAAGUCCUUUUGAGAAAAAAAAAAAAAAAGAGAGGUUUAAAACUUAAACUUCUAAGUCAUUUUUUAAAAAGAAAAGAUUUUUUUUAAAGUUCCAGAAUAAUCAAAAUCCAGAACGUCUUCAGCAACCUCAUAAUUUGCAGGUGAACUUAAAAGUAGUGACACAGAUUAUGACUGCAAAGUCUGUGUUGCUAUCAGUACAUUAAGCCUUAAUGUAACACCUUUUCUGCUUCGUCAGUCUUCCAGGCUUUGUGGUUUUAUCAUCAGUGAAAGGACCAGCUCAAAAAUUGCCAGCAGAAAGCUCGGCCAUAAAGGGUAGAAAUUCAAGAUUGCCAUAAAGCAUUUCAUAGAGUUUCCCCUUUUAGCAACAGCUGUCAAAACAGACUGUAAGAGAGUGGUGUUGGGGUUGUUUUGUUUAUUUAAAAGAAACAAACAACUACAGAUGCCCAGUCCAGCAUCAAAGAAACCUUCACCACUUAUGGAGAGAAUUCACACUUUUAUUCAAUUUGAGCAGUGCUUGGGGUAUCUGUUGCCUGGGGUGAAACCACUAUUCUACCAGAGGUGAAGAAUAUUUUCAGAAGUAAAUUGUCUCUAAAUACUUGCCUGGGAAUCAGAGGAUAAGCCUCUGUUUAAGGAAACAGCUUUUUUUGCUCAGCUAUUGCAAAGAGGUGUACACAUGAUUAAACUAAAACAAAAGUGUAUUGGGGAUCUUCCUGCUUCCGAGUUUUUUUCCCUGCCCACAAAAUUUCACCAGAAUAAGAAAGUAAAACAAAUCAGAUGUGGUUUAUUUUGUCAUCCAGACAUCUAGCAGAUACCAGUGAUAGUAUUACAUUGCAAGCAGACAUCUACAUUGUUACGUAUCUCAAGACAGUUUGUUGUUGGGUUUUUUUUUUUUUUUGAUCCAGGAGAAAACACCAUAAAUUAAAAGACUCAAAAUUUGUAGAAAUUGUAUGGAGAAAAAAAAUAGAAUGAGUAUGAAUGAAUAGUAAGAGGCAUGAUCCUAAAGAAACAGAACUGAUUAGAUAUUCCUAUUUUUGUUUUAUUUGUAAGUAUGUUAGAACUGGAAUUGCCUUUUGUCCCCACAAAACCACUGAGAAUACUUUAACAUCAGCAAAUUAGUAGGACACAUUGAUUUAAUGAGAGGUUGGGGCUCAAUGCAAAACUUCCCAGCUUGUAAAUAUGAGUUGUUUUGAGCUCAUUUAGCUCUUUUUAUUCAUGAGCAAGAUCACAAAAGAAGAAAACAAGUUCAUGCAGUUCUGAGGAAUAAUGAAGUAAUCAAAAAAAGGCUAUUUCAAAAAUAGCCAUUAUAAGCUAAUAGCCAAACUAAAAGUAAAAAUAGGUGCACAGGGGUCUAUUUAAUUGCUAAUGGAUACAGUAGCAUAAUGCAAUCUGUUACUGGUUUUGAAAACUGAAGUCUUUAUCUAUAUUAAUAUUGUCCAGAAAGUUCUUUUCUUCCAUUUUAGGCAACAAGACCACAUGGCAUCCCUUUGACUCCCACAACACACACCUGCAGAGGUAGUUAAGGUUUUUAAAUAAAAGUUUUCUUGUCCUAGUAAAAGGCACUGCAAAUUUACAGCUUCAACUCCAUCCAGAUGGAAGAAUACCUGAAGCCUGAGCCAUCCUUGAUAACUUGCAGCUCCUUCACAGCUCACACAGUGUAACAUUCUGUCGUAUAAAAGGGUUCAAGGAAAUCCUAAUUAUUACAGAAGCAAUUUCCCUUCAAGGUCAUACAGCCACUACUACUGCCAGACUCAAGAAUCCUUACAGGAGAAAGUGACUCUUGAAAAUCCAGGCUUGGAGCUGCUGUUCUAAUGGUUGGCUGAACCAAGGCAGGAACCUGCAGUAAAACUCAUUGGAAUGGCAGAGUUACACUGGUGUUGACCUACCGUGGGGCUCCUUUCUUCCCUGGGCCAUCCUCCCUCCAUCCUGCCUGGAGACACGGGAUGGGAACGACACCCCGGGCGCUCCGGGACCUUCGGAGCAAAGGCUUCCAAAUCCUGCAGAACAUCUAGGAGCUGCUCCUCAAGCUUUUGAAAAGCAUGACAAGCAGCCACAUUUUCACAUGCAAGUCGGAUCUCUCCUGAUCUCUGGCAAGAUGUUUUCUGCUGUGCCACACAUUGAGCUCUGUCUGCUGGAGAAGUAAAAAAGGUCAAAUGAAGGAAAACAUCACUCAAAAAUCAUUUCCAGGCUAAGACAUAUCACACAGGACACCUUUCUUCUUUCAAAGGGAGGAAACAACACAGGUUGACACCAAAGACCAGAGUUCAAAGUUUCCACAAAGCAAGGGCUGCCUCCAUCUGACAAAUCACACAGUUAAAUUCCAAAGCCCUGCCUGCGGGAGGUCGAUGGGGCAGCUUCUCCAGGGACUGAGAGGGGCAGAUGGACCUUGUGGGAGAAGGGACUGAACGAAAGGGAAAACCAGGGGACAGGAAGGGUUGAAAGUGCUUUACAAGACUGGGUGUUUUGUUCCUUGAGCACUGGAGUGAGUUCAGUGGUUCCCCAGCCUGGACACGGCACCGUGUGUCCGUGUGUGGGUCCGUGUGUGGCCAUGCUGUGCUUCUGGGGCUGCUGGAGGAGAUGAGAGCCUUGAGAGUGUGUCGGUUGUAGCUGAAAAAAAUACUCACCAGAGGAGGCUUAAAGCAGGAGUGGGUGCCCAGAGAUGUCACUGUAUGGGAAAGGUUUGUAUGAUGGUUCUGGAUGGAUUGCAGGGCCUGGAAAAAUGUGCAGUUGAUGUGGGUGAGUAUCUCCAGGUUCCUUCUGGAAAUGUUACCCCGUCAGUGAUUUCCCACUUUCCCUGGAGUGUGGGACAAUUUAACAGCAACUUUGCUUUGAAAACUGUAUGAAGAGGCUGGUUUGUAUUAGCCAAGAGCCUCAGAUGACAUUUCAAUGGAUGCUGGAAAUUUCUGAAAGCGUUUUAAUAAAUUCAGAAAGGGACAUGAUUCUGUCUCAUAUACAAACUGUUAAUAAAUUCCACUGUAUUUAUUCCAUAUUUAUUCUCUUUGAAGUUAGAUCUUUACCAGGCUCUUCAAGACCGAUACAGACAUGGAAAUAAAUAUGGAAAAAAUAUUCCUUUUUGUUUAAUAUUUUGGCCCAGUUCAGUCUGACAGACAGUGUCAGUUUGUAUGUAACUACCCACUGUUCCACAUAAUUUUUGGUAGCUGAAUCCAGUUUUCUUGGAUUACAGAAGGGGGCAGUGAUGGUUCAUUUUCUGGAACUGGAAUCCCCAGCUAAGAAAAGCUUUGGCUUUAUUGAACACAGAAAUAGAAGAGCCCAAGACUGCUCUUGCUAUUUUGCUUCCUCCUGUUACAAUCAUUCUUCCUACUUGUUACUUUAUUUUCUGCAAGGAAAAAGGUCCCAUCUCGGAGGGAACAUGAAGACAGUGGAUUGCACAGAGCUUUCCUGUCACCUUAAAGUUCUGAGAUAUUUCUAUUAUUAUUAAAAUACAGUAAAAUAGCCCCUGGAAACUGGGUCUUCAUGUUUGCUUGGUGUCUUGCUGCAUAGCCCAGCCUUCUUGGGCAGAAUUCUACCCUGUCAUGUUCAGUCUCUGCUGUUGGAGAAGCCUAAAUACUUCUUUAAAAACCUUAUAAUUAAUUAACCAAGUUGACUUUCGUAGAGUGGAAUCAAAAUAAUGCCUGUGAUAUGUUUAUUUCUGACCAAUUAUUAAAACCUUCCAUUCCAGAUUUGAUGAGAUUGUACACACACAGCCCUCAACACAUUCCUGGGGUGAAAAUGCUUAUUGAUAACAAUUACUUUAUUGUGCAUAAAAUCUAUUUCCAAAAGAAUUCUCCAGAAACAGAAUAAUUCUAGAGCAUUUCUCAAGUUACAAAAGGACAUACAAUCUUCCAUUUUUUACUAAAACACACUGGGAAGAAAAAUAACCUUAUCCUGGAUUUAUUUUGAACUUCAGUGCCCACAUCACUAGUAUUUUAAUCAGAUCACUUUUCCCAGGCAUCCUGCCACAGGAUCAGGGCUUCUUCUGGAAGUACAGCUGUUGACAAAUCUUAUUUCUUGAUGAAGCCCUUUAGGGUUUGGGGGUGUCCUCUUGGGGUUAUCUGCCUGUGCUCUGCCUUGUGUUUGCUCCCAGCAGUGUCUCCAGGUGUUCCCAGGGCAGUGCUCCAGCUGGAACCAUUUACCUCGUUCCACCAGAGCCUAUUUAGCUGAGCCUCUCCCACCUGGGCCCUUCUGGAAAGAUCCUGGAGGUGAGAAGAUGUUGGAUCAUCCUCUGCUGAGGAGC